rnacentral:rRNA from 1 species
CCUACGGGAGGCAGCAGUGGGGAAUAUUGCACAAUGGGGGAAACCCUGAUGCAGCGACGCCGCGUGAGUGAAGAAGUAUUUCGGUAUGUAAAGCUCUAUCAGCAGGAACGAGACAAGACGGUACCUGACUAAGAAGCCCCGGCUAACUACGUGCCAGCAGCCGCGGUAAUACGUAGGGGGCAAGCGUUAUCCGGAAUCACUGGGUGUAAAGGGAGCGUAGACGGCUGAGCAAGCCUGAAGUGAAAGGCGGGGGCCGAACCCCCGGACUGCUUUGGGAACUGUACGGCUAGAGUGCAGGAGAGGUAAGUGGAAUUCGUGGUGUAGCGGUGAAAUGCGUAGAGAUUAGGAGGAACACCAGUGGCGAAGGCGACUUACUGGACUGUAACUGACGUUGAGGCUCGAAAGCGUGGGGAGCAAACAGGAUUAGAUACCCCAGUAGUC